UGGGGAAUUUUGGACAAUGGGCGAAAGCCUGAUCCAGCAAUGCCGCGUGUGUGAAGAAGGCCUUCGGGUUGUAAAGCACUUUUGUCCGGAAAGAAAUCCUUGGCUCUAAUACAGUCGGGGGAUGACGGUACCGGAAGAAUAAGCACCGGCUAGCUACGUGCCAGCAGCCGCGGUAAUACGUAGGGUGCAAGCGUUAAUCGGAAUUACUGGGCGUAAAGCGUGCGCAGGCGGUUUGCUAAGACCGAUGUGAAAUCCCCGGGCUCAACCUGGGAACUGCAUUGGUGACUGGCAGGCUAGAGUAUGGCAGAGGGGGGUAGAAUUCCACGUGUAGCAGUGAAAUGCGUAGAGAUGUGGAGGAAUACCGAUGGCGAAGGCAGCCCCCUGGGCCAAUACUGACGCUCAUGCACGAAAAGCGUGGGGGAGCAAAACAGGAUUAGAUACCCUGGUAGUCCACGCCCUAAAACGAUGUCAACUAGUUGUUGGGGAUUCAUUUCCUUAGUAACGUAGCUAACGCGUGAAGUUGACCGCCUGGGGAGUACGGUCGCAAGAUUAAAAACUCAAAUGAAUUGACGGGGUCAUAGCUGUUUCCU
rnacentral:rRNA from 1 species